GGAGACAGCAAAAUGUGCCAAGCUUUUCUGUAAGUUUUCUAUAAAUAUUUUGAGCAAAGUUAUUCUAAAACAAAGUUCAGUGUAUUAGCUCUCUUAAUUGUGUGUGAAACCAGCUUGACACAUCAACUGAAACAUGAAUUUCCCUUUAUGGAAAGGGGCAAGGGAUGUGCACGAAUCAAUAAGACAGUUCCAGCCGUAAGUUUCAUACAUACAACACCACAAGCAGAAUACAUUCUCAAGAUUUUGAAUAGCCCCAGUUGGGCAGCGAGCUUUGGAUCAUUACCAGAUGGAUGGUGCAUCAAGAAAUGAAACCAUUUAGAUGCUUUCAGGAUGAUUUUCCACCAGAUAUACCCAUAGACACCCAUCAAAGCGUUUUUCUGGGCACUGACAAUAACACAUUUGCCGUUCAUUUAAUUUGCUUAGAUGGAACUUCCUCGGAACAAAAAGAUGACAAUCAUUAUUGUAAGUAGAGGCAAUGGCAGAUGUCCUGUUUAUAGUUAUUUAAAUGCUUAACAAAUUUCGCUUAGAUUUGGUUCAGACAUACUCAACAGAGAAACAUCCUGCAAAGUCCACCAUGAAUAAAAUAAGAAAGAUUCAUGUGGAACAUGGGCUGAAAAGGAAGUGGUUAAGAGGAUGUCAUUAAAAAUAAAUGGUUAUAACAUUUAACAGCUUUUAU
rnacentral:lncRNA from 1 species